UACGAAGGGGGCUAGCGUUGCUCGGAAUUACUGGGCGUAAAGCGCACGUAGGCGGCUCUUUAAGUCGGAGGUGAAAUCCUGGAGCUCAACUCCAGAACUGCCUUCGAUACUGAAGAGCACGAGUCCGGGAGAGGUGAGUGGAACUGCGAGUGUAGAGGUGAAAUUCGUAGAUAUUCGCAAGAACACCAGUGGCGAAGGCGGCUCACUGGCCCGGUACUGACGCCGAGGUGCGAAAGCGUGGGGAGCAAACAGG
rnacentral:rRNA from 1 species